rnacentral:rRNA from 1 species
UACGUAGGGACCAAGCGUUGUUCGGAUUUACUGGGCGUAAAGAGCGCGCAGGCGGUCGUUCAAGUCGAGUGUGAAAGCCCCCGGCUCAACUGGGGAGGGUCACUCGAUACUGAUCGACUGGAAGGCAGGAGAGGGAAGCGGAAUUCCCGGUGUAGUGGUGAAAUGCGUAGAUAUCGGGAGGAACACCAGUGGCGAAGGCGGCUUCCUGGCCUGUUCUUGACGCUGAGGCGCGAAAGCUAGGGGAGCAAACGGG